CAGUAGCCGCGGUAAUACGUAGGGUGCAAGCGUUAAUCGGAAUUACUGGGCGUAAAGCGUGCGCAGGCGGUUAUAUAAGACAGAUGUGAAAUCCCCGGGCUCAACCUGGGAACUGCAUUUGUGACUGUAUAGCUAGAGUACGGCAGAGGGGGAUGGAAUUCCGCGUGUAGCAGUGAAAUGCGUAGAUAUGCGGAGGAACACCGAUGGCGAAGGCAAUCCCCUGGGCCUGUACUGACGCUCAUGCACGAAAGCGUGGGGAGCAAACAGGAUUAGAGACCCCUGUAGUCCCUGUCUCUAAUAC
rnacentral:rRNA from 1 species